CAGCCCCCCCAACCUUCAGUAAACUAGGGAUCCUCCCCCUCUCUCAUUGUCCUUAAGUGGUACAGAAUAUAGGCAUCCACUGCAUUGAUCAUUCAGCUCAAGAACAGGGAGAACACGCCAGCACUUUAUUAAUGCAGUUUAGGUAGUUAAGUGAGAGAGAGAGAGCGAGAGAGCACGAGUGAGCUUCAGACAUAUACACACACACACAUACACAAACACACUGCCCCGUUACAUGCUCUGCUCAAUGGCAAACUCCGGCUGCAUCUUGCUGUCCAACUCAGCUAUGCUCCCUCACACCAUCACCUGCACUCCGGCCUUUCUCUAUCUCCAGGAGGGUAAUCAAGAAGCCACGGCCCCUCCUGAAGCAAUGGCACAGCCCUACCCUCCUGCCCAGUACCCUGCUCCGCAGAACGGAAUCCCAGCUGAAUACGGUCCAGCACACCCACACGCCACUCAGGACUACGCGGGACAGACCACGGUACCAGAGCACGCCAUGACGAUUUACACACCCACACAGACGCAUUCCGACCAGCCGUGCGGCGAUGCAAACACACAGUCUUUGACGGGCACGUCCACAGUACCGCAGACAGACGAAGCCGCACAGACAGACUCGUCACAGCAGCUACAGUCAUCAGAGACUACAGAGAAACAGCAGCCCAAGCGGUUACAUGUAUCUAACAUACCCUUCCGAUUCAGGGACCCUGACCUGCGACAAAUGUUCGGGCAAUUUGGUAAAAUUUUAGACGUUGAAAUCAUUUUUAAUGAGCGAGGAUCUAAGGGAUUUGGUUUCGUAACUUUCGAAACAAGUGCCGACGCAGACAGGGCACGGGAGAAAUUAAAUGGAACAAUCGUAGAAGGCCGUAAAAUAGAGGUUAAUAACGCAACAGCAAGAGUAAUGACGAACAAAAAGACCCCAAAUCAGUACACAAACGGCUGGAAAUUAAAUCCAGUUGUCGGAGCUGUCUACGGCCCCGAGUUUUAUGCAGUGACUGGCUUUCCCUAUCCAGGAGCUGGAGCAGCUGUGGCUUACAGAGGGGCUCAUUUACGAGGAAGAGGUCGUGCUGUUUACAAUACCUUCCGCGCUGCACCCCCACCCCCUCCUAUCCCCACCUAUGGAGCAGUUGUGUACCAAGAUGGGUUUUACGGCGCUGAGAUCUACGGAGGCUAUGCAGCAUACAGAUACGCCCAGCCUGCUGCUGCUGCUGCCGCUGCUUACAGUGACAGUUAUGGGAGAGUUUAUGCAGCAGCAGACCCUUACCACCACGCUAUAGCACCAGCUGCAACGUAUAGCGUUGGGACUAUGGGCACACUAGCCCAAUGUUCGUGACCAUGUCAGAGUUUGACCAGGGGAGAAAUGGACGGAUCAUUACACACCCCAGUGACUCUGGCAUGACACAGGUGCACUGUACUAAAUGAAGGGCUCGGAGGCUGAAAUCUACGGAUUCUGGGAAUACAGAACCUCAUGCCACAUCUGCAGCAAACAACAUGUGGAAUGUACGCAAGUACUACCAUACCGAAAAGAAUUAUAGGUUGUAUACCAUGUGUACGCUCCAAAUCCUUUUUAUAACUCCACUUGUACAUAGUCCUUUAGCUGGUGCCCUGUGCAAUAGAUUAUAACACACCCUGACCUUCCUUCCAUUGAAAGUAAUAGGAAACUCCCUGUGAAAUGACAGCGUUAAUGUCCCAGCCCCCAAGUGCAUUUUUCUCAUGCACAGGAGCAGACCUGUUGUGUGUGUGUUUUUCAAUCGGAGUGAACGAAACGGCAGCUCUCAUUCAAAUAACUAUGUGAAAUAAUAGCAGUGAGUUGUUGGGGGUGUAAGGGAGUUGUUAAAAAAAAUCACAAAAAAAAAUAAAAUAAAAUGAAUAAAAACCGCUCUUUUUUAGGGCUUCCCAAUGCCCUAGGAACAGGGUGUGUUGUAAAAAGAUUCUAAAACAGCCUGAAGUUACAGGAUCGAGAGACUUCUUUGCCUCCCCCACCCCCCAAAAAAACAUUGCCUGAACCCAGAGGAUUGACUUUGGGUCCACAAUGACCCCAUGGCCUGGACUAAGGAAUGUUCUCCUUUUAAGCCCUUGAGUUUCUGAUGCCCUAAUUUUAGUCCUAGGUACUUGGCUCAGAAUUAGGGUAUCUGGUUUCCUCUUGGUGCAAGGAACCCUAGUUUUGCUGCGCCUUCAACUCUCCAUUUCCCUCUGUCCAAAAUGCCACCAUUCCUCAAGGCCAUUGAGCCCUUCAUCAAACGCCAUUACUUUGCUCAGCCAUUGGGUGCAUGAUGCUCUUUCAACCUGAGAUAUCCUGGAUUUUCUCAGGCUUCAUCGCCUCAAUGUUCUCUCAGUCCUGCAACUGUAUGCUGUUUAAUACCCUAUUAGUACCUCAUGUGCUUUUAACUGUCUACACGCUGUUAGUUUCUAAUUUCUUGCUCUCUGCUGCUGCCCUGGUAGAAACCUGCUGAUUAGAGAGCUGUAGUUUAGACUUCUGCCUUCCUUUUUCUGCCAUUCUGUAAGCUUCUAAUGUGCUUCAAUUAACAAUAUCCUUAAUAAAGGUUGUUUCUUUCUUCAACAAAAA